rnacentral:rRNA from 1 species
UACGGGGGGGCAAGCGUUGUUCGGAAUUACUGGGCGUAAAGGGCUCGUAGGUGGCCAACUAAGUCAGACGUGAAAUCCCUCAGCUUAACUGGGGAACUGCGUCUGAUACUGGAUGGCUUGAGUUUGGGAGAGGGACGCGGAAUUCCAGGUGUAGCGGUGAAAUGCGUAGAUAUCUGGAGGAACACCGGUGGCGAAGGCGGCAUCCUGGACCGGCAUUGACGCUGAGGCGCGAAAGCCAGGGGAGCAAACGG